rnacentral:rRNA from 1 species
GUAAUAUAUCGGAACGUGCCCAGUCGUGGGGGAUAACGUAGCGAAAGUUACGCUAAUACCGCAUACGAUCUACGGAUGAAAGCGGGGGACCGUAAGGCCUCGCGCGAUUGGAGCGGCCGAUAUCAGAUUAGGUAGUUGGUGGGGUAAAGGCUCACCAAGCCAACGAUCUGUAGCUGGUCUGAGAGGACGACCAGCCACACUGGAACUGAGACACGGUCCAGACUCCUACGGGAGGCAGCAGUGGGGAAUUUUGGACAAUGGACGCAAGUCUGAUCCAGCCAUUCCGCGUGCAGGAUGAAGGCCCUCGGGUUGUAAACUGCUUUUGUACGGAACGAAAAGGUCUCUAUUAAUACUAGGGGCUCAUGACGGUACCGUAAGAAUAAGCACCGGCUAACUACGUGCCAGCAGCCGCGGUAAUACGUAGGGUGCAAGCGUUAAUCGGAAUUACUGGGCGUAAAGCGUGCGCAGGCGGUUAUGUAAGACAGAGGUGAAAUCCCCGGGCUCAACCUGGGAACUGCCUUUGUGACUGCAUAGCUAGAGUACGGUAGAGGGGGAUGGAAUUCCGCGUGUAGCAGUGAAAUGCGUAGAUAUGCGGAGGAACACCGAUGGCGAAGGCAAUCCCCUGGACCUGUACUGACGCUCAUGCA